rnacentral:lncRNA from 1 species
GAGAAACAGCAGGCCAUGCACCUGUGUUUUGAAAAUUUGAUGGAAGGCAUUGAACGGAAUCUUCUGACGAAAAACAGAGACAGGUUCACCCAGAACUUGUCAGCAUUCCGUCGGGAAGUCAAUGACUCAAUGAAGAAUUCCACUUACGGAGUGAAUAGCAAUGACAUGAUGAGCUGACAACUCUUGGACUCUACCUUGCAGAGCAGCGUCCCUUCGGUCUGGUUCAGAGGGUGAACAGUUGCAAGGGAGAGAGCCUGGCUGAUCCCGGCUCCUUCCUCCAGGGAUUUGCCUGGGGGAGAAGGCCAAAGAGGAGGUGAAUCGUGUGGAAAUCCUUCCCCAGGAAGACAGGAAAUCACCAAUCACUGUCGCCACGCUGAAGGCCUCUGUCCUGCCUAUG